rnacentral:rRNA from 1 species
UACAGAGGUCUCAAGCGUUGUUCGGAUUCAUUGGGCGUAAAGGGAGCGUAGGCGGCGUGGUAAGUCAGAUGUGAAAUCCCGGGGCUCAACCCCGGAACUGCAUCCGAUACUGCCAUGCUAGAGGAUUGGAGAGGUAGCUGGAAUUCUUGGUGUAGCAGUGAAAUGCGUAGAGAUCAAGAGGAACACUCGUGGCGAAAGCGAGCUACUGGACAAUUCCUGACGCUGAGGCUCGAAGGCUAGGGUAGCGAAAGGG